UAGGAACGCGAGAAACGGGAGACAAAAGUCGGAAUCCGGAGGCUUUGGUCGUUCCGGCUCCGCGCAGACGACGCUCAGCCUGUUCGCGGUGGUGACGGGCACUUUUACUUGUCACCGAGACUUAAGAACAUAUUUCGAUCCGUUUUGCAAGAUAAAAUACAUCGAGAAGAGUGGGAGCGUAAACGCUGUACGUUCCAUCGAUUUUCUGCUAUCGACAAGUAACAAGCGGGUGCGUCCGCCCUGCUCUCGCUCGCUGUACCGUACGGACGCGACGUCGUGACGCCCGCGAUACGAAGCGCCGCGAAAAACGGAGUAUCAGGAUGGCCGAAGCGCGAUGAUGUAUCGUACGAGAGUCGUAAACCACCUGUGACUCGGAAUCGACUCGGAAGUGCGAGCCAAAACGGGAGUGAUCUUUGAAAAUUAUGGAUGAGCGUUUGUAUUUGUGAUUUUGGUGGCAAUUGUGCGCAACAUUGUUUGUUACAAAACGUAGGAUAGACUGUGCAAUUGUGUGAUAAUUACGGGAGUGUUCAACAAAAUAUCAAGAGGACAUCGUUAUUCAGUAGAGUAAGCUAACUUGUUAUUGACAGAUUGAUGACUAAUUGGAGAAUCAAGGAUAACAAACAUGAAAUACUUAAAAGUCACAUUAUUUACGUUCAAUGCAUUAAUAUGGUUGGCUGGCUGCGCCUUACUCGCUCUAGGUGCGUGGCUGCUCGUGGACCCGAGCAAAGACCACAUCUUUAAUCUUUUCACAUCUGACAUCGAGUCGCACAAGUUUAUUUAUGUGGUAUCUUGCACGUUGCUCGGGUUCGGCUCCAUCGUACUUUCGAUGGGCUUCUUCGGCUGCCGCGCCGCGCUACGCGGAAAUCAAUGCACCCUCGUCAGCUACAUGGGCAUGAUGGUCACGCUUAUCAUCGGGGAACUGUCAACGGUGGCCCUCGGCGGGUUCGUGACUUUUCGAGUCCUGUCGAGUCUGGAGGAAAGGCUCACCAGCAAACUGGCGGUGGAUUACGGUCACGAUCCGAGCAGCGAUAUUCCCUUCAGUCACAGUCUGGACUUCGCGCAGUACAAGUUUAAUUGCUGCGGAAUACACAGUGACAAGGAUUACAAUGGCACAGAUUGGUGGAGAGAUAAACAAGUCUCAGGGAGCAGAAACCAAGUUCCCCUUACGUGUUGUGUUCUCAAAAAUAGCGAGAAUAAAAAUACUGGCAGCCCGAUGAGCGUCGUUUCAAGGGUGUUUCACAAAGAUAAUGAGAAACCAUGGCUACGCCCGCAGCCAAAGGAUGAGAGCGCGUGCCAAGUAAAAGAUGAGGAGGGUCACGAGGGAUACAGACACAAAGAGGGUUGCCUCGCAAAAGUCACGAAUUGGUUUCAAUGCGAAAGCUUCACGUUAGUGUUUCUUGGCAUGGCAUUGGCGGGAAUACAGACAUUCGGAAUAAUAACGUCCGCCUUCCUCUGCCGAACGGUAAGAGAUAUGGAGGAAGAAUGAUACAUGGUUCGUAGUCUCAAUGAAGUGAAAAGAAUGUCGUGGCAUGCUCAUUCUAUACAUUGAUAGAAGAAAGAAGGUUUAUUUGUGUGAUAUUCUUGUGUAUCGCCACUUGGAAACGUUUCCGAAAUUAAUUUCAGUCUUGUGAAUCUGGGCAAUGAGACUACGAGUUUCCGUGAAAAGAAAAUUAUGCCCGUAAUCUUUGCGCGCGUUUUGCUGUGAGUCAGCAAUAAUGUGACCAACAGACUCCACUGUACAAUAUACGCGUCUUUAUCGUGUUCAAUUUGAGUACUAACAAAUCGCAAUGCUACAAUAACGUCUCAUAACAACUACGGCAAAAAUCGACGAACAACGCAAUUUGUCUUGUAAAUACAUAUAUGCCAAGUGUCAAGAAGAUGUUGAACGAAUGGAUAUCUACAGUGCGCACGUGAGAAUUUUCGAGUCCUUUUAUUUUCUGGAAAAUUUACCUAAUUCAAGCACAAAUAAUUUUUCGCACAAAGUUAUACAAGCAUUUUUGAAAAGUAUCAUGAUUUUAACGAAUGAGAUUUGUAUGAGUGUAUGUAGGUGUGAUUGGGGUUGAUCGGCAUAUUCUGUUAAGAGAAAUUUUAUAAAGUAGCGUUAGUAUUCAAAAAAUAUAUUAAAACGUCGUUCGUUUUAAUUGUACAUAAGUUUUCAAUGUAUUGUUUAAUCGAUAUAGAUUUUUAGCUAUAAAUAUACAUUGAGCUAAAAAAAAAAUAGAAAGGAUUAUUAACGUUUAUGAUAAUAUUAAAGUAAUCGAUUUCUUUGCUAAGAACUUAAGAAAAAUUGUAAGUAAUAAGUGUCAAUCAACCCCAGUUUUUAUAAUAAUAAUAUGUGUAUGUUAGAAUUCUUAUAGAUAUUUGUCAUCCAUCUCAGAAUGAGGAUGAGCUAUUAUAUACACAUAUAUUAUAUAUAUGCAUCAGUGUGUAAAAAUAUGUCAUAUAUAUUCUAACCAAGGGAAUAAUUUCCUCUAAUUUUCGAAAAAUGUAUUACGAUAACUUGUGCCAAAGACAUUUAUUGUAUAAUAAGUGACAAAAAUUUUUAAUAUAUUUUUAUUUUCUCAAAAUAGUUGGCAAGAAAUGUCCUGCGUGUUUAUAGAACAUACCUUAAUGAUAAUAAAGAUGUUGUUCUCUGUGUAAAUUCAUUGCUUACUUUAGAUUUUCACGAGCUGUAAUAACAAGCAUUCCGUACAUCCGCACGUACUUCAUUAAAAUUUUUAAUGAUUCAAAACU
rnacentral:misc_RNA from 1 species